UUGGAAGUAAAAAGUCGUAACAAGGUCUCCGUUGGUGAACCAGCGGAGGGAUCAUUACAGAGUUAUCCAACUCCCAAACCCAUGUGAACUUAUCUCUUUGUUGCCUCGGCGCAAGCUACCCGGGACCUCGCGCCCCGGGCGGCCCGCCGGCGGACAAACCAAAACUCUUGUUAUCUUAGUUGAUUAUCUGAGUGUCUUAUUUAAUAAGUCAAAACUUUCAACAACGGAUCUCUUGGUUCUGGCAUCGAUGAAGAACGCAGCGAAAUGCGAUAAGUAAUGUGAAUUGCAGAAUUCAGUGAAUCAUCGAAUCUUUGAACGCACAUUGCGCCCAUUAGUAUUCUAGUGGGCAUGCCUGUUCGAGCGUCAUUUCAACCCCUAAGCACAGCUUAUUGUUGGGAACCUACGGCUUCGUAGUUCCUCAAAGACAUUGGCGGAGUGGCAGUGGUCCUCUGAGCGUAGUAAUCUUUUAUCUCGCUUCUGUUAGGUGCUGCCCCCCCGGCCGUAAAACCCCCAAUUUUUUCUGGUUGACCUCGGAUCAGGUAGGAAUACCCGCUGAACUUAAGCAUAUCAAUAAGCGGAGGAA
rnacentral:rRNA from 1 species